UAGGGAAUCUUCGGCAAUGGGGGCAACCCUGACCGAGCAACGCCGCGUGAGUGAAGAAGGUUUUCGGAUCGUAAAGCUCUGUUGUAAGAGAAGAACGUGUGUGAGAGUGGAAAGUUCACACAGUGACGGUAACUUACCAGAAAGGGACGGCUAACUACGUGCCAGCAGCCGCGGUAAUACGUAGGUCCCGAGCGUUGUCCGGAUUUAUUGGGCGUAAAGCGAGCGCAGGCGGUUUAAUAAGUCUGAAGUUAAAGGCAGUGGCUUAACCAUUGUUCGCUGUGGAAACUGUUAAACUUGAGUGCAGAAGGGGAGAGUGGAAUUCCAUGUGUAGCGGUGAAAUGCGUAGAUAUAUGGAGGAACACCGGUGGCGAAAGCGGCUCUCUGGUCUGUAACUGACGCUGAGGCUCGAAAGCGUGGGGAGCAAACAGG
rnacentral:rRNA from 1 species